rnacentral:rRNA from 1 species
UACGAAGGGGGCUAGCGUUGCUCGGAAUCACUGGGCGUAAAGGGCGCGUAGGCGGCCUGUUAAGUCGAACGUGAAAUCCCCGGGCUCAACCCGGGAACUGCGUCCGAUACUGGCAGGCUUGAAUUCGGGAGAGGGAUGCGGAAUUCCAGGUGUAGCGGUGAAAUGCGUAGAUAUCUGGAGGAACACCGGUGGCGAAGGCGGCAUCCUGGACCGGCAUUGACGCUGAGGAGCGAAAGCCAGGGGAGCAAACGGG